rnacentral:lncRNA from 1 species
CAAUCAUAUGUUGGCCAUUUCCCAGAGAUAAACAUUUGCAGUUUGAUGGGAGGAAAUGUCAAGGAUCAAGGGAUUGAAGGGCAAAGAGCCAGGGAAGCAGACAGUGUGGUCAAGACCAAGUAAGAGGAAAGGAAUGUAAUGUUUAGGAAUAUGGAAAUGUCAAGCAGGGGUAUGCCAAAGUUUCGAGGAUCAUGAUAAAGGUGAAAAAUAGAUUUAGAUUAAAAGGAAAAAUCGAAAUAGAAGAUGUUUGUACUUGGACACUGUAAUUUAAAUGUUCAACACUUUUAUGUGAUGAAAUUACAAGAAACAAUAGGGGUUAAAAUGUGUCCAUGUUGGUUACAUGGUUAACAUGAGUUAAGAAAAGAGGUUUUGUUGGAAUUUGAUGAAGUGUUGGUGAGGGAUUGACAUCCUGAUUGUUGACAUCUUCUCUCUGAAUAUUAGAAUGAAAACAAGGUUCAGAGGAAGACUGAGAAAGUUGGGAGACUAACCUCUGAGUGAAUUAAUAAUAAUAACAAGAAUGGGCAAAAGAUCUUUUUCUUAGAUUGCUUGGACCUCAAAACAUCAAAGACCUUUGAGAUGUUUGGUAGACAAAUAACAGAGCACAGAUGGAUCAAUCAUUACUUAUGAUUUUAGAAGAAAUGGAUUUGGAUCCCAGUUUUGCAAAUUUGCAAAUUGCAAGUCUAUGGGAAAUACUACUGACCCAUGAAUCAGAAAAGAAUAAGAUUUGAGGAUUAUUGUUUUUGUCUCCCUGAGGAGCUAUCAAUUUGCACUACAUUGAACAGUAGUCAAGGCACAGCAAACAAAGACAUUGCCCCAUGGAGCUUCUAAUCUAGCAGCAUGAUCCGAUGCAGAACAAUGCAAUUCAGAACAAGCAUGUGGAAAGGUAGACAUAAUUGAAUGGCACCUCUUCUCCUAGUACAAUCAGUAGCCUCAAUUUGGGCUCUCUUGAAGCCCAGGGAAAAGGAUCAGGAUCACAAAUAAAAAAACAAUACAG